AGCAGUGUGUCAAAAAUAUGAUUGUAGCCUUGGAAAACUCAGUAAGAUCCAUCUCCAACCAAAGCUUCCAGUAUGGACACAGGAGAAAAUCGAGGUUUCCUCUUCCUUCUCCGUGUUGUUUUCUGCUCCAGGGCUUGGUCAUUUGGUACCUGACAUGUAAAUGAAAGUUCAUAUUGUUACCUUAUUCAUAGACCUGGAAGCUAUAGUCUACCAUGAAUUUCUAUACAACCUGGUAUUUCUGUACUUGAAAGAAAUUUGGCUGGGAUCUCUGUGAUAAGACAGCUUCUAAACCAGGUAACGUACGUUGAUAGGUUCACCACUUAGAUUCUUAGCGUUCAACAACCCAGGCGG
rnacentral:lncRNA from 1 species